rnacentral:rRNA from 1 species
UACGGAGGGUGCAAGCGUUACUCGGAAUCACUGGGCGUAAAGAGCGCGUAGGCGGGAUAGCAAGUCAGAUGUGGAAAUCCUAUGGCUUAACCAUAGAACUGCAUUUGAAACUGUUAUUCUAGAGUAUGGGGAGAGGUAGGGUGGAAAUUCUUGGUGUAGGGGUAAAAUCCGUAGAGAUCAAGAGGAAUACUCAUUGCGAAGGCGAACCUGCUAAGAACAUAACUGGACGCUGAUGCGCGAAAGCGUGGGGAGCAAA